AUGUGCACAAACUAAAUCUGCAAAAAAUGCAAGCCCGAUCCUGUCUGAUCUCAGAAGCUAAGCAGGGUUGGGCCUGGUUAGUACUUGGAUGGGAGACCACCUAGAAAGAACAGGUGCUGUAGGUG
rnacentral:rRNA from 1 species